AUUAAAGCCUUACCAAAAGUAAUUUUCGUUUUUGUUUCGCAAGGAAACACCUGGAAAUCCUCUUCUUUCCCAGUUUCCAAUAUCUGAUCCAACAGUUCCUUCGGUAUAUGUGAAAUCGUUGAAGCCCGGCAUCAAUCUAAACAAUUUCAGCAAAGAUACAGUGGGCAUCACUGUUACCGGAGAAAUCAAGACCAGUGGGUUUAAAUGUUCCAGAAUCUGACUCGAAGAACACGUUGAACUCGUCCUUCUCGUCCUCGGAAUGUUGUUUCUCAUACUCAUCGGCACCUUCUAGACCUGUCUCUUCCGCCGUCCAGUAAAUGGCUCGAAUAGUGCGUCGCGGCCUAAGUCCCAUUGCUUUCAGGAAUGUCACUGCUUUCCACGAAAUAAAUACCCCACCAGCAUCGUCCAUCGCGCCAGUUCCAACGUCCCAGCUGUCCAUGUGACCGGAUACGACCACUACGGAGGUGUUCUUGAAAAUGAAUUAUCAUCUUAUCUCCUCGUCGGUACUUGCGCAAGAGCAACAUGGCAUCUUCUACCGUUAUAGCUGCAGCAGGAAUACGGCGCACUUCCGGAUCAUAUGAAAGCGAUCCAGUGUGAGGCGUUCCGAUAGAGAAAGGAGUCAUUGAACGUACCAGCACGGCUGCAGCGCCCUUCUUUGCUGCUACUGAUGCUGAUUCGGAUCGAUAUUGAACAGUCGCUCCGUACCCAGCCCAUGCGGGAACAAAAACUACAAUUUUUCCCUCCACUUGGUCUGCAGUGAAGUUUUCAAACUCUUCAAACGAUUCCACCGCAAUCACUUCUGCCCGGAUGCCUUCUGGUGCAGUUCCAACUGAUUUUCCAAGUCCCAGCAUGGGUAAUUUCUUCUGGAAUGGUUCUACCAGCUCUGCCCAUUCACGGCCGCGUUGCCAGUGUGAUACGAUGGCUUCCUCGGUAUGAACAUUGUCAAGCCCUUCUGCGACCAUUUCUUGUACUGCGAAGUCGAUCGCAUCCUCCAGUUGCUUCGAUCCAGUGAGCCGUGGUCCAAACCGAUCCGUAAACUCCAGCAAACUCUGCCAAGUCUUGCCCGCAUACUCACCAGAUACGAUGUGUUGGAAGAUCGAAUCCACUACCGGCUGAUAUUGUGCAAUCUCUUCCCGUAGUCCAGGAGGGAGUUCACAUUCGUUAGGAUCUGCUGUUACGAGAUUGAUUGAGACGAGUAUUGCGCAUAGCGCGCCAAAAAAUGCCAACCGCUCUCGAAGCAUGAUGGUUAACGAAUGAGCGAAUGCGUCUGAACGAUUGACCUACUUCACUGCCCUUUCUGGUGGGGUGUACAGUUGCCAAAUAGACGUAGAAAGGUGAUUGUAUCACUACGAAUUCAAAGCAUAACCUCGAGGAGAGUAAAAUUAGAUGAUACGACUAUUCAAUCGGUUGCGUUCCUGGACUGGUUUCCGUGUGUUUGUGACUGUUCAAAGCUGAUAUUUCUUUUCGUUUCCUUAGCCUCUGAACAAAGACGACAAUGUAUAUGAUAGAAUAAAAUCCAUCACACCGAAAGAUAACACCAAA